rnacentral:rRNA from 1 species
GGGACACGUGGUAUCCUGUCUGAAUAUGGGGGGACCAUCCUCCAAGGCUAAAUACUCCUGACUGACCGAUAGUGAACCAGUACCGUGAGGGAAAGGCGAAAAGAACCCCGGCGAGGGGAGUGAAAAAGAACCUGAAACCGUGUACGUACAAGCAGUGGGAGCCUCUUAAUGGGGUGACUGCGUACCUUUUGUAUAAUGGGUCAGCGACUUAUAUUCUGUAGCAAGGUUAACCGAAUAGGGGAGCCGAAGGGAAACCGAGUCUUAACUGGGCGUUAAGUUGCAGGGUAUAGACCCGAAACCCGGUGAUCUAGCCAUGGGCAGGUUGAAGGUUGGGUAACACUAACUGGAGGACCGAACCGACUAAUGUUGAAAAAUUAGCGGAUGACUUGUGGCUGGGGGUGAAAGGCCAAUCAAACCGGGAGAUAGCUGGUUCUCCCCGAAAGCUAUUUAGGUAGCGCCUCGUGAAUUCAUCUCCGGGGGUAGAGCACUGUUUCGGCAAGGGGGUCAUCCCGACUUACCAACCCGAUGCAAACUGCGAAUACCGGAGAAUGUUAUCACGGGAGACACACGGCGGGUGCUAACGUCCGUCGUGAAGAGGGAAACAACCCAGACCGCCAGCUAAGGUCCCAAAGUCAUGGUUAAGUGGGAAACGAUGUGGGAAGGCCCAGACAGCCAGGAUGUUGGCUUAGAAGCAGCCAUCAUUUAAAGAAAGCGUAAUAGCUCACUGGUCGAGUCGGCCUGCGCGGAAGAUGUAACGGGGCUAAACCAUGCACCGAAGCUGCGGCAGCGACACUAUGUGUUGUUGGGUAGGGGAGCGUUCUGUAAGCCUGUGAAGGUGGCCUGUGAGGGUUGCUGGAGGUAUCAGAAGUGCGAAUGCUGACAUAAGUAACGAUAAAGCGGGUGAAAAGCCCGCUCGCCGGAAGACCAAGGGUUCCUGUCCAACGUUAAUCGGGGCAGGGUGAGUCGACCCCUAAGGCGAGGCCGAAAGGCGUAGUCGAUGGGAAACAGGUUAAUAUUCCUGUACUUGGUGUUACUGCGAAGGGGGGACGGAGAAGGCUAUGUUGGCCGGGCGACGGUUGUCCCGGUUUAAGCGUGUAGGCUGGUUUUCCAGGCAAAUCCGGAAAACCAAGGCUGAGGCGUGAUGACGAGGCACUACGGUGCUGAAGC